rnacentral:rRNA from 1 species
CUCAGGAUGAACGCUAGCGGGAGGCCUAACACAUGCAAGCCGAGCGGUAGAGUUUCUUCGGAAACUUGAGAGCGGCGCACGGGUGCGGAACACGUGUGCAACCUGCCUUUAUCUGGGGGAUAGCCUUUCGAAAGGAAGAUUAAUACCCCAUAAUAUACUGAAUGGCAUCAUUCGGUAUUGAAAACUCCGGUGGAUAGAGAUGGGCACGCGCAAGAUUAGAUAGUUGGUGAGGUAACGGCUCACCAAGUCUGCGAUCUUUAGGGGGCCUGAGAGGGUGAUCCCCCACACUGGUACUGAGACACGGACCAGACUCCUACGGGAGGCAGCAGUGAGGAAUAUUGGACAAUGGGUGAGAGCCUGAUCCAGCCAUCCCGCGUGAAGGACGACGGCCCUAUGGGUUGUAAACUUCUUUUGUAUAGGGAUAAACCUACUCUCGUGAGAGUAGCUGAAGGUACUAUACGAAUAAGCACCGGCUAACUCCGUGCCAGCAGCCGCGGUAAUACGGAGGGUGCAAGCGUUAUCCGGAUUUAUUGGGUUUAAAGGGUCCGUAGGCGGAUCUGUAAGUCAGUGGUGAAAUCUCACAGCUUAACUGUGAAACUGCCAUUGAUACUGCAGGUCUUGAGUGUUGUUGAAGUAGCUGGAAUAAGUAGUGUAGCGGUGAAAUGCAUAGAUAUUACUUAGAACACCAAUUGCGAAGGCAGGUUACUAAGCAACAACUGACGCUGAUGGACGAAAGCGUGGGGAGCGAACAGGAUUAGAUACCCUGGUAGUCCACGCCGUAAACGAUGCUAACUCGUUUUUGGGCUUUCGGGUUCAGAGACUAAGCGAAAGUGAUAAGUUAGCCACCUGGGGAGUACGAACGCAAGUUUGAAACUCAAAGGAAUUGACGGGGGCCCGCACAAGCGGUGGAUUAUGUGGUUUAAUUCGAUGAUACGCGAGGAACCUUACCAAGGCUUAAAUGGGAAAUGACAGGUUUAGAAAUAGACUUUUCUUCGGACAUUUUUCAAGGUGCUGCAUGGUUGUCGUCAGCUCGUGCCGUGAGGUGUUAGGUUAAGUCCUGCAACGAGCGCAACCCCUGUCACUAGUUGCCAUCAUUAAGUUGGGGACUCUAGUGAGACUGCCUACGCAAGUAGAGAGGAAGGUGGGGAUGACGUCAAAUCAUCACGGCCCUUACGCCUUGGGCCACACACGUAAUACAAUGGCCGGUACAGAGGGCAGCUACACAGCGAUGUGAUGCAAAUCUCGAAAGCCGGUCUCAGUUCGGAUUGGAGUCUGCAACUCGACUCUAUGAAGCUGGAAUCGCUAGUAAUCGCGCAUCAU